UUCAGCGCCCCAGCAGCGCGGUCAGCUCUCGGCUGCUCCGGGACGGCGCGGCCCUGCUUCUGCUCAGCCAGAGCCGGCAGGCUCAGAGGCUGGCGGCUGGGCCCCGACUGCCGCGGGUCGGCGGCUCCGGCGUCGAGCGUGCCCCGGCAGGGCCUGCGCCUGAAGGGGGUGGUGCGUCGACAGCCCGGGCUGUUUGGCCGCAGUCUGUGAGUGGCCAGGCCCCGGCCGCCCUCUCAAGCUUGGUAACAGUUGCCGGGGGGUCGGUCGGGUUCCGGACACUGGCGUGCGUAGCAGCCAGGCCGACCGACUGGUGGGAGUCGCCCGCUGGCCCCUUCCCAACCACCACCGCCCGGCGCCCGAGCUUCGGGCUGCUCUGCUGUGAAGCGGGAUGGUUGUGCGGAUUCCAAGUGAGAGAAAGCAGGAUGAUUCAGCCAAUGAGAAUUUGAAUGCUGGUGGAAAACUGCAGAAAAUCCAGAAACCAACUGGAGAGAACUAAAAUAAAAAUGUAAACUGACUGGAAGGAUAUUUGGCUAUCUCAUGGAAUCCAAGAGAGAGUGUGGAAUGACCACACCUUCCUUAGGGAGAACUCAAGGCAGUUCCCAGGACCUGAGACUGAAAUCCACUAGUUCCUCCAAAGGACUACCAUUAAUGACUCAGCUACCAAUUCCCAACCACUGCCUCUGUGUCAAAUCCAAAAUUCCUGGGAGAGUCUGAUACACCACACACA